AAAAAGGAAGAAGAAUUAGCUAAGAUCCAUUGAAAGCCCUCCUCCCAAACCAGGCUAACUUCACUGCUCACUUCUCCAGAGUUGCAGGAGGUAUGGUCACUGCAUUGGUCAAGAGUCUGUGCAGAGGCAAGCUUAUUACUGCUUGCACCUGACUUCUGUUGGACAGGAGAUCAUUUGGCAUCCCAAUGCCAAUCCCACAUUUACCAAAAAGCCCCCUUUGUUCUGGACUUGUGGUUUUUGCUUGGAUGCACAGAGAGGUGGAUCCUUGAGAGGAGAAACUUGCCUGGUGACUUACUCUUUCCAAGGUAACCAGCCACUUUAGGGAAUCCAGGAGACAAGUACUCUGUUGCCUUCUGAUCUAAAAAGAAAGGUUUCUUUGUCUUUGA